UACGGAGGGAGCUAGCGUUGUUCGGAAUUACUGGGCGUAAAGCGCACGUAGGCGGCUUUGUAAGUUAGAGGUGAAAGCCCGGGGCUCAACCCCGGAAUUGCCUUUAAGACUGCAUCGCUUGAAUCCGGGAGAGGUGAGUGGAAUUCCUGGUGUAGCGGUGAAAUGCGCAGAUAUCAGGAGGAACACCAAUGGCGAAGGCAGCUCGCUGGGGACGUGACUGACGCU
rnacentral:rRNA from 1 species